rnacentral:sRNA from 1 species
GUGAUAUUCAUAGAGAAUCAACAUUGUUCUGAUAAAUCUAACAACUGUUGAAAUAAGAGAAAAUGAGAGAAACAAAUAAAUUCAACUGAACAAAUCAAGAAAGAUAAAUAUAACUGAAUGAAGAAAUGUUCUCACUAUUAUAAAAAGAGUUAUAUUACAAAUGAUUGUUGAAUAUUACACUCUGAAAAGUGUAAUCAAGUUUGAUAAGUAAAAAAUCAGCAAUUUCAAUUAUAGAAGCAGCUGCUGCAUUGAGAAUAUGAACAACUAGACUACAAGAUAAACAGUUAUUGACAAUAAAUAUAUAAAUACUGACAGAAAUGAGAUGGUUGAUGAUGUGAAUGCUAGUGAAUUCUGAUAUGAAUGUGAACUUUGUGUCUCACAUCUGAGCAUCAAAAUAUUUCUUGA